CCUACGGGAGGCAGCAGUGAGGAAUAUUGGACAAUGGGCGCAAGCCUGAUCCAGCCAUGCCGCGUGCAGGAUGACGGUCCUAUGGAUUGUAAACUGCUUUUGCACAGGAAGAAACAACGCUACGUGUAGCGUCUUGACGGUACUGUGAGAAUAAGGAUCGGCUAACUCCGUGCCAGCAGCCGCGGUAAUACGGAGGAUCCAAGCGUUAUCCGGAAUCAUUGGGUUUAAAGGGUCCGUAGGCGGUUUAGUAAGUCAGUGGUGAAAGCCCAUCGCUCAACGGUGGAACGGCCAUUGAUACUGCUAGACUUGAAUUAUUAGGAAGUAACUAGAAUAUGUAGUGUAGCGGUGAAAUGCUUAGAGAUUACAUGGAAUACCAAUUGCGAAGGCAGGUUACUACUAAUUGAUUGACGCUGAUGGACGAAAGCGUGGGUAGCGAACAGGAUUAGAUACCCUGGUAGUCCACGCCGUAAACGAUGGAUACUAGCUGUUGGGAGCAAUUUCAGUGGCUAAGCGAAAGUGAUAAGUAUCCCACCUGGGGAGUACGUUCGCAAGAUGAAACGUCAAAGGAAUUGACGG
rnacentral:rRNA from 1 species